GUGCAGCAGUCGCGAAAACUCCGCAAUACGCGGGAGCGUGACGGGGCCACCCCGAGUGCCGUCCGCUGAGGAUGGCUUUUCCCCAGUGUAGAUAGCUGGGGGAAUAAGGAGAGGGCAAGUCUGGUGUCAGCCGCCGCGGUAAUACCAGCUCUCCGAGUGGUAGGGACGAUUAUUGGGCUUAAAGCAUCCGUAGCCGGCUGGGCAAGUCCCCUGUUAAAUCUAACGAUUCAAUCGUUGGAUUGCGGGAGAUACUGCUGAGCUAGGAGGCGGGAGAGGCCGACGGUAUUCCCGGAGUAGGGGUGAAAUCCUAUAAUCCCGGGAGGACCA
rnacentral:rRNA from 1 species